GAUGAACGCUGGCGGCGUGCCUAAUACAUGCAAGUCGAGCGAACGGACGAGAAGCUUGCUUCUCUGAUGUUAGCGGCGGACGGGUGAGUAACACGUGGAUAACCUACCUAUAAGACUGGGAUAACUUCGGGAAACCGGAGCUAAUACCGGAUAAUAUUUUGAACCGCAUGGUUCAAAAGUAAAAGACGGUCUUGCUGUCACUUAUAGAUGGAUCCGCGCUGCAUUAGCUAGUUGGUAAGGUAACGGCUUACCAAGGCAACGAUGCAUAGCCGACCUGAGAGGGUGAUCGGCCACACUGGAACUGAGACACGGUCCAGACUCCUACGGGAGGCAGCAGUAGGGAAUCUUCCGCAAUGGGCGAAAGCCUGACGGAGCAACGCCGCGUGAGUGAUGAAGGUCUUCGGAUCGUAAAACUCUGUUAUUAGGGAAGAACAUAUGUGUAAGUAACUGUGCACAUCUUAACGGUACCUAAUCAGAAAGCCACGGCUAACUACGUG
rnacentral:rRNA from 1 species